UAUCAUAUAAGCUCAAUCUUGAACACCUGACACUUCAGUUUUUAUUAUCUAUUUUUCGUGUAUCUAGUACUUAUGUGAUUCUUUUCAUUUAUUACUAGUUAAUCACUUCUCUUUGAGCGAUGGAAACAGUGGGUGAUUCUAGAUCAAGUUCAAAAGAGAAGAGAUCAUUUGAGGUCAUGAGCAAACCUCUUGCAAAGAAGCGUAAAAAGACCUUUUAUCCUCCUCUACAUGUGACAAAUCUUGCAAGGAUGAA